rnacentral:rRNA from 1 species
CGAUUAUUGUCAGAUCAUCGUUUUGUGAUUGGCAUUAUGGGAAUCCAAACCGCUUUCAAAGUAACAAUUAGUGGGCAAGCCUGGUGCCAGCAACCGCAAUAAUUUCAGCUCCAGCAGAGUAUAUCAAAGUUGUUGCAGUUAAAAAAGCUCGCAGUUGGAUAUCUGCAGGAAGCAAUCAGUCCGCCCUUUUGGUAAUGGUGUGCACUUGAUGGAUUCUGGCAUGAUUUCAUCCAAAUGAUGGCGCAUAUAUUGGGUUGACUCCUGAUACACUAUUCACUGGAUGACAGUUACUAUGGGAAGAUUAGAGUGUUCGAAGCAGGCUUAUAUAUAUAUAUGAGUACUGCAGCACGAAAUCGCAAUAUAGGGUUUGAGUUCUAUUUUGUUGGUUUCUAGGACUAAAAUAGUGAUUAAUAGGGACAGUUGGGGGCACUUGUAUUAAGCUAUCAGAGGUGGAGUUCUUAGAUUCGUUAAAGACGAGCUACGUGAAAGAAUAUGUCAAAGGUGUUUACACUUAUCAAGAACGAAAGUUAGGGGCUCGAAGACGACCAUAUAUUGUCGUCGUCCGAACCAUAAACUAUGCCGACUAGAGAUUGGAAAGUGUUGCUUUUGACUUCUCCUGCACCUUGUGAGAAGUCCAAGUCUUUGAGUUCUCGGGGGAGUAUGGUCGAAAGGCUGAAACUUAAAGGAAUUGACGGGAGGGCACCAGCAGGCGUGGAGCCUGCGGCGUAAUUUGGCUCAACACGGGGAAACUCACCAGUCCCCAAAAAAAAAAAAUAAA